GACGUAGGGCGCGAGCGUUGUCCGGAUUUAUUGGGCGUAAAGAGCUCGUAGGCGGCUUGUUGCGUCGACUGUGAAAACCCGUGGCUCAACCAUGUGGUCUGCAGUCGAUACGGGCAGGCUAGAAUUCGGUAGGGGAGACUGGAAUUCCUGGUGUAGCGGUGAAAUGCGCAGAUAUCAGGAGGAACACCGUGGCGAAGGCG
rnacentral:rRNA from 1 species